AUUUAGGGGUUAUAGAGCAGCUGAGAGUACUCUACAUUUUCUCUUCCUCUGCAAUAGUGAUUGUGCAGUCAAAUGAUGAGAUGGUUAAGCCAAGGGACGGAAAAAAGCAAAACAAAACCGGAUUGCCAAUACACAUGGAGAAGGAGCCUGGGGAGUAGCCUGAGCUGAAUUUCAUGUGAAGUGCCUCACUCCCCCUUCACCUUCUGCCAUGAUUUCAAGUUCCACAAGGUCUCCCUAGAAGCUGACGUCACCGUGCUUCCUGUACAACCUGCAAAAUGUUCAGAACGAAGUUUCCUAUUAUACCAAAUGCAUAGCCACGCAGGAGAGGAGAGGCUUGUUUUCCAGUGAUGGUUCACCACGAAUCUUUGGGACAAGAAUCAUCAAAAGAAUAGGACCAGUGAAUGGCACUGACAUGGGGCUGAAAAAGGGUAUUAAGAGAAAAUCUUCAUGCUAUAAUAUAGGACCACAGGAGCUCCUCCCCACCUCGAUCUCUGAAAUUAGGUAAAAUCAUCCCUUUUCCCAGGGAGUGACCUACAUUCAAUAACUGAUUUAGAGAUCAGAGGGUCUAAUUUACUUAUCCCAAAUCAAUGUGAAUCUGUAGGCAAUCUCAACCUCCAGGUCCUGACUAGUAAUGACCAACCCAAGGACUAUCUGAAAGACAGAGGGCCUGUCUAGAUGGGUUCAAAAGUAUUCUCUUCCACUACAGCCACAGCUCAGUUUGAGCUGAAAAUUAGGCCCAGAAUUUUUUUAUUUGAUGACCUCUUUGAAAAGGUAUUCCUAAUCCAAUAGCAUAAAAGUAUUUUUCUAUAUUUUAAUUUUUUUCCAGAAGCCUUAUUGGUUUACUUAUUACAUUUGGGCCUAUGGUCCAUUUAAAAUUAAGGUGGUAAGAGAUAAGAGUUUUGGUUCAAUUUUGCCCAUACAGUUAUAGGAUUUGACUAGUACCAUUUAUAGAAGACAUAUUUGGAUUUCACUACAGAAUGUUUUAUUUACAUUGUGUUACAAAAUGUAAAUCACAUCUAUAAGCCAGAUAUUAUAAUUUUUUUUUUUAGUUCAAUAAGCUAAGCUGUGGAUCAUGGCAGUGAAAAAGGCAUAUUCUCUUGAGAUUAAGAUAUAUCUUUCGAUGAAUCAUCAAUAGUGGAUAGAAAUUUGUAACACAAUUUUCACUGCAGAGUACUCAGAAAAGUAAGGUCUAGUUAAUUCAUCAUUCCAUAAUCUAGCCAUGGUGUAGUUAAAAACUAGAACAGUUUUUCAAUGUGGCAUUUAAAGGAAAUUAAAGAAAAAAUUUGUUUAAAAUACUUGAG
rnacentral:lncRNA from 13 species